UACAGAGACUGCAAGCGUUAUUCGGAUUCACUGGGCGUAAAGGGUGCGCAGGCGGUUGGGUGUGUCAGAUGUGAAAUCCCGAGGCUUAACCUCGGAACUGCGUCUGAAACUACUCGACUAGAGUACUGGAGAGGGAAACGGAAUUCACGGUGUAGCAGUGAAAUGCGUAGAUAUCGUGAGGAACACCAGAGGCGAAGGCGGUUUCCUGGACAGUUACUGACGCUCAGACACGAAAGCAUGGGGAGCAAAAGGG
rnacentral:rRNA from 1 species